AGACACGGCCCAGACUCCUACGGGAGGCAGCAGUGGGGAAUUUUCCGCAAUGGGCGAAAGCCUGACGGAGCAAUACCGCGUGAGGGAGGAAGGCUUUUGGGUUGUAAACCUCUUUUCUUAGGGAAGAAGAAAGUGACGGUACCUAAGGAAUCAGCAUCGGCUAACUCCGUGCCAGCAGCCGCGGUAAUACGGAGGAUGCAAGCGUUAUCCGGAAUUAUUGGGCGUAAAGCGUCCGCAGGUGGCACUUCAAGUCUGCUGUCAAAGACCAGAGCUCAACUNUGGGCAGGCGGUGGAAACUGGGGAGCUAGAGUACGGUAGGGGUAGAGGGAAUUUCCAGUGUAGCGGUGAAAUGCGUAGAGAUUGGAAAGAACACCAGUGGCGAAGGCGCUCUACUGGAC
rnacentral:rRNA from 1 species